rnacentral:lncRNA from 10 species
CUUCUUGGCACUACCACCAGAGGGCAGGCAAAGGAAGGGAGAAGCAGCAAUCACUUUUAGGAUAUUCCAUCAAAAACAGAUGUUAUUUCAUCAGGGGUUGUCACAGUCACAAUAAUUGGAUGCGAAGACAUCAAAGAAUCAUCCUCUUGAACAGAUGACAGGCCGAGAAGACAUCAACUUCUGUGAAUUCUGCUUCUGCGACUUCUGUGUGACUUUUGGAUAUGUGCCAAACUUUUCAAGCCCUAUUUCUAUAUCUGUGCAAUGAGAAUGAUGACAUCACUCCACAGAUUUGGUCUAAGAAUUAAGAGAGGUUGCAUAUCAAUUUGCCAAAUAUUGAUGUUCAGGUUUUUCUAAUAUUAACUUGUUAUUGGAAUUUGGAUACUUCAUAAUUAAUGAAAGAAAAUAUUGGCAGUUUAUCCUUUAGUUCUAAUCACCUCUCGUUUCCCUCCUAGGUCUUGUCAGCAAUACAGACUGGUUGACAGGCCUAGCAGUACUGUCAGAUUUCCUUGGUUCAAAGCUCAGUCUUUUUACUUUCUAGAUAUAUAAGUUUAAGCAAGUUUCCUCACCCAUUAAAUAGAAGUAAUUAUGGCCUGUACUUUUUGGAACUGUGCACAGGACUCAGUGAUAAAAUUCAUGGUUAGUACUUGGCAUAGUACCUGGCACAGAAUGAGAACCUAACCCAUUAGCUGCUAUAGUUAUUUUGACUCUUAAGCAGUAAGAUUCUGAAAUCUAACUCUGCUAAAUCACUACUAACUUUAAAAAUUUCAUUGGCUCUACUUAAUUAAAAAUAUUUCCAAAACAGGAGUAUGUUGUAUUGGCUUACAUUUUCCAAUUAUGCGGGUUUCAUUUAUAACAGGAAAGGUACUGCUGUCAAGUGAUGACUGCCAAUCAAGAUAAUUUUGACUUGCAUUUUGAUUUUUGUAUACCUAGGAAGUUUAAGUAUGGUGAGUAGAAAGAUCCUGUUCUCAGUGUGAGGAAGAUUGACUAUACCAGCUGUGUGUGUGAUUUUGGAUUUUGCUACCAGCUGUGUGUGUGAUUUUGGAUUUUGCUACCACCUAUCUCUGUGAUGUUGGAAAAUUCUAUCAUUUUCCUGGCCUUCCGAUUUUUCACCAGUGAAACGAGGUAUUCCAUGAUUGUGGUAUUUAUUGAGCUCGCUUAUAAAAUAUCUUUAUCUAUCUGACCCUUCCAUCCACAAGACCUUAAAUUGAGAACUCCUUAAGGGCAAGAAGUGUAUUUUAUUCAUUAUUCAUUUUGGAGUCCUCCAUUUGCUGAAUGAAGAAUGAAUGAAUGGGCUGGGCUCGGUGGCUCACGCCUGUAAUCCCAGCAUUUUGGGAGGCCAAGGCAGGCAGAUCACCUGAGGUAAGGAGUUCAAGAUCAGCCUGGCCAUCAUGGCAAAACCCCAUCUCUACUAAAAAUAUAAAAAUUAGCCAGGAGUGGUGGCGAGGGCCUAUAGUCCCAGCUACUCAGGAGGCUGAGGCAGGAGAAUUGCUUGAACCCAGGAGGUGGAGGAUGCAGUGACCCGAGAUUGCUCCACUGCACUCCAGUCUGGGUGACAGAGUGAGACUCCAUCUCAAAAAGGAAAAAAAAAAAAAGGAAUGAAUGAAUAGAUGAAGGAAUGAAUUAAUUGUUGUGUUGAACGAUGUGAUUAAAUUUCACUUAAGAAGUGCACAGCAAAUUCUUCUGGAAUUUAGCCAUUGCUUUUGAAACACAGUACUUGGAAUAUUAGACAAUAUUAAAAUGUUAUAAUUUCUUAUAACAGUUUGCUAUAAGGGCCUCAGUAUACUGUAUGGGAGAAAAUAAAGGACAACACAAUUUUCCAUUUAUACAGUUUAUUUUCAAUAAAUUAUAAAAUCAGCAAUUUUCCAUGUAGAUGAGUAGUUUUCAACUGGAGGAGAUUUUUGUCCCCCACGAGACAGCUGGAAAUAUGUGGAGACAUUUUUAGUUGUCACAACAGGGGCUGGCAGGUUACUGGCAUUUAGUUAAUAGAAGUCUGGGAUGCUAAGUAUCCUAUAACGCACAGGAAAGUCCCGCACAAAAAAAGAAUUAUCUACUCCAAAAUGUCAAUAGUUCCAUAGUUGAAAAAAAUCCAGAUGUAGAUAAGAUUUUUAAAGAAGUAAUUGUUGUAAAUUAGGCUUUUCGCUUUGUAAAGCAGGCUACAGAAACUGUAAGGGCUUCAAGCAUUUAACUUUUUUGUUCUGUCCAGUAGAGGGCAGUAUUUUACACAGUACAAAACCUCUUGUAAUUAGACACAUCCACCUAUUUGCACAUUCAUAUAUGCAAUCAAGAAUACUCCCAUGAUAUAAAUAUAAAUAACAACUAUACCUAGCUUUUCUGAAAAAAAAUUUUAGGGUUCAUAAAAGUUUCUAUUCCAGGCCUCUGAGGGACACACUACCUGUUAAUAGUCAUUACAUGCACAUUUGGGAGCUUUUAAGCUUACAAGAUAGAAAAUAAUGUUCUAUUUCAUAAAGGAGAAAAUGGACUCAGAUAUUAUGUAACUUGCUCAAGGUCAUAUUCCCUGUCAUGCAUCUAAGAAAUGAUGUGUUCAGGAUUUGAACUUCAAUCUAACUAAUCUAACUACUAAAUUUAUGUUAUCUCUUCAUCACACUGUUUCUGCAAUCUGUCUGAAAUAAAGUAAGUCGUUC